rnacentral:ncRNA from 12 species
CCUGCCCGGGUCUGUGGUUGCGGGCGCGCAGGCGUCCCAGUCCAAGGUAGAUGCGGCCGAAAGGACCCACGUAAGCCGGCGGUUCGCCGUCGCGCGAGCAUGGCGCAUCUUAGGGGUAAGUCGUACCGCCCGAUUACAGUCGCAUCCCGCGGCUUCGGGCGAGAGGGCCGGUAGUGAGAUCACAUCAAGCGGAAGCUCCGGUAUGCGAGUGUGGGGCCAAAGACCAGGUCAGCCGGGCGGG